AAUAGAUACCCCGGUAGUCCACGCCGUAAACGAUGUCGACUUGGAGGUUGUGCCCUUGAGGCGUGGCUUCCGGAGCUAACGCGUUAAGUCGACCGCCUGGGGAGUACGGCCGCAAGGUUAAAACUCAAAUGAAUUGACGGGGGGCCCGCACAAGCGGUGGAGCAUGUGGUUUAAUUCGAUGCAACGCGAAGAACCUUACCUACUCUUGACAUCCAGAGAACUUAGCAGAGAUGCUUUGGUGCCUUCGGGAACUCUGAGACAGGUGCUGCAUGGCUGUCGUCAGCUCGUGUUGUGAAAUGUUGGGUUAAGUCCCGCAACGAGCGCAACCCUUAUCCUUUGUUGCCAGCGGUUUAGGCCGGGGAACUCAAAGGAGACUGCCAGUGAUAAACUGGAGGAAGGUGGGGAUGACGUCAAGUCAUCAUGGCCCUUACGAGUAGGGCUACACACGUGCUACAAUGGCAUAUACAAAGAGAAGCGACCUCGCGAGAGCAAGCGGACCUCAUAAAGUAUGUCGUAGUCCGGAUUGGAGUUCUGA
rnacentral:rRNA from 1 species